UACGUAGGGGGCAAGCGUUGUCCGGAAUUAUUGGGCGUAAAGGGCGCGUAGGCGGUUUCUUAAGUCUGAUGUGGAAGCCCACAGCUUAACUGUGGAGGGUCAUUGGAAACUGGGGAACUUGAGUGCAGAAGAGGAGAGUGGAAUUCCACGUGUAGCGGUGAAAUGCGUAGAUAUGUGGAGGAACACCAGUGGCGAAGGCGACUCUCUGGUCUGUAACUGACGCUGAGGCGCGAAAGCGUGGGGAGCGAAC
rnacentral:rRNA from 1 species